UCAACCUACAUGAUCGAACCAGGACUGCACUCCGAUCUGUUACAGAGUGGACAUGGCGAUUGGGGUUUUCACGUCAUUCCAACUCUUUCUCUCCUUCUCCUCAAAACCCUAGCAUCGGUCUGUAUGAAGAUGAAGUAGGUCUCAUGGACUGGCACCGACAGUACAUAGGAAAAGUCAAGCAUGCUAUGUUUCAUACUCAAAAGACAGAGAAAGGGUGUGGUAGUCUCUAUCGAAGAAAAUGUUAUUGUUUCUUUUGGUCUUUGCAGUGGUGACAUUUGAGCAUAGUAUCUUAUCCCGCACAUCAUAUUUUUGAACCCCUCAACAAAAUGGGGUAGUGGAGCGGAAGAAUCGUCAUCUCCUUGAAGUCACUUAGGCUCUCCUUCUCGAUGUGAAUCUUUUAAAACGGUUAUGGGAUGAUGCUUUACUUACUGUUGUCUUCUUGAUUAAUUGUAUUUUGUCUUGAGUACUAUCUUGCAAGUUUUCAUUUGAACUUUUGUACCUAUGGGAAACCUUUUCCCCUACCCCCUGAAGUAUUUGGGUGCACAUGUUUUGUUCAACUCCUGGAUGAGAGUAAUGACAAGUUAAGUCUCCGGGCCAUAAAGUGUGUUUUCUUAGGCUAUUCCAAAUCUCAGAAAGGGUAUAAGUGCUAUGAUCCUUUGACCUGUAAGAGGUUUGUGUCCGUUGAUGUUAAAUUUUUUGAAGAAAUUCCAUACUUUUCUGCUGAAGGGAGAUCUAUGCAUCAUCCGCCUCCUAGUCAGGGGGAGCUUUUACACUCUAAUUCAAACUCCACUUCUCUCCCAUUGUAUCUCUCGAUGAUGAUGCAGUUCUUCCCUUGCUUGCUCCAAAGCCUAUACUUGUGUUUCAUCGAUGAGCUAAACCUUCUACGGAUCAUCAACCUACCACUUCGUCUGCUCCAACUGGUGGUUCAGGUAUAAUCCCUUCAUCUCAACUUCAUGACGACCAACUUCUGAUUGCUUUCGUAAGCCUUCUCGCUCAUGCACUAAGCAUCACAUUAGUAAUAUUGUUUCCUACCAUCAUCUUUCACCUUUCCUCUAGUCUUUUGCAACUUCCAUAUCUUCCUUUACCUUCCUGCGUAUUCUCAAGGACGCCUUGUAUAGCCUUGACUGGACUAUGGAUAUGAUGGAAGAGAUGCAAAUGCUUGAAAAGAACAAAACUUGGGAGCGGGUUCCCUUACCUGAGGGCAAAAGAUUUGUUAGAUGCUGAUGGGUAUACACCACCAAAUUUCGCCCCGAUGGUUAUGUUGAACGGUAUAAGGCACGUCUUAUUGCAAAGGCUUUACUCAGACAUGUGGUGUGGAGUACUUUGAGGCGUUCUCUCCGUUAGCCAAGCUUAUCUUCGUUUGUGUGCUUAUCUCUGUAGUAGUGAAUCUAUCAUGGCCCUUAUUCCAACUGGAUGUGAAGAAUGCCUUCUUACAUGAUCUUGAUGAGGAGGUCUAUAUGGACCAACCACCUGGUUUUUCCAUGCCUCAUGGUCCUCACAAUUCU